GAUGAACGCUGGCGGCGUGCCUAACACAUGCAAGUCGAACGGGAUGCGUAUUGGAAAGCUUCGGCCGGAAGAUACGUUAUCUAGUGGCGGACGGGUGAGUAACACGUGGGUAACCUGCCUUAUGGAGGGGGAUAACAGAGAGAAAUCACUGCUAAUCCCGCAUAAGCACACAGUACCGCAUGGUACAGGGUGAAAAGAUUUAUCGCCAUAAGAUGGACCCGCGUCUGAUUAGCCAGUUGGCAGGGUAAAAGCCUACCAAAGCAACGAUCAGGAGCCGAUCUGAGAGGAUGACCGGCCACAUUGGGACUGAGACACGGCCCAAACUCCUACGGUGGGCAGCAGUGGGGAAUAUUUCCCAAUGGGGGAAACCCUGAUGCGGCGACGCCUCUGUAGUUAAGUAGUAAUGCGGUAUGUAAAGCUGCUGUCAUCGGGGAAGAUAAUGGCCAGGUCCUGGACUAUAGAAGCCCCCCUGCCUGACUACCUUUCCGUCUGGCCGCGUGUAUUUCUGUGUGUGCCAUGGUUUGUUCUGUUUUUUCUGGGGGUUGAAGGGAAUGCGUGCACGUGAUGUGUGGCUCCUGAAUUGAUUGUCCCUGGUGCUAGAUCUGUUAUGUGUCUUGUGGAACCUGUGUUUUCUAGUGUGGUGUGAAAGAUGAGUGAGUGCCCGCGCCUGACCGGUGUAAAUUGUGAGAGUUUGUAGAGAAUGACCUGUCUGUAACCGUUGUGAUUGUGUGUGUUGUGGUUGUGCGUGUGUGUGUAUGUGAGUGUGUGUGUUGAUGAGUAAGUGAUGCUUGCUCUGCUGCUCUGCAGUGCUGUGCUAUAUUCUGCUUACAGAUGUGAUAGUAUAUUGCUCGCUCCGACGGGCUACGUCCCACUCCUCCCGUCGCUCGCUGUGUGUUCCUGCCUGUGUGCGGAUGGAUAUACAUAUAUGAUAUCACUCUGAAGUGAUGAGUUGAUUACGCUGGAUAGCUCUAGGUAUCCACUAGUGUGUG
rnacentral:rRNA from 1 species